UACGUAGGGGGCGAGCGUUGUCCGGAUUUACUGGGCGUAAAGGGCGCGUAGGCGGCGCAACAAGUCACUUGUGAAAUCUCCGGGCUUAACCCGGAGCGGCCAAGUGAUACUGUCGUGCUAGAGUGCGGAAGGGGCUACUGGAAUUCUCGGUGUAGCGGUGAAAUGCGUAGAUAUCGAGAGGAACACCUGCGGCGAAGGCGGGUAGCUGGGCCGACACUGACGCUGAUGCGCGAAAGCCAGGGGAGCGAACGGG
rnacentral:rRNA from 1 species